GGAGAUAUAGCUCAGGUGGUAGAGUGCCUGCCUCGUAUGCCCUAGGCCCCGGGUUCAAUUCCCAGCACCACCA
rnacentral:tRNA from 1 species